rnacentral:ncRNA from 1 species
UUAUUGCGGGAGAGAGGUUCAUUAAGAACCCGCCGAAGGAGCAACAAGCCCGGAAACUCUCAGGCAAAAGGACUGUAA